rnacentral:rRNA from 1 species
AGUGAACGCUGGCGGUAGGCCUAACACAUGCAAGUCGAACGGCAGCACAGGAGAGCUUGCUCUCUGGGUGGCGAGUGGCGGACGGGUGAGGAAUACAUCGGAAUCUACUCUGUCGUGGGGGAUAACGUAGGGAAACUUACGCUAAUACCGCAUACGACCUACGGGUGAAAGCAGGGGACCUUCGGGCCUUGCGCGAUUGAAUGAGCCGAUGUCGGAUUAGCUAGUUGGCAGGGUAAAGGCCCACCAAGGCGACGAUCCGUAGCUGGUCUGAGAGGAGGAUCAGCCACACUGGAACUGAGCCACGGUCCAGACUCCUACGGGAGGCAGCAGUGGGGAAUAUUGGACAAUGGGCGCAAGCCUGAUCCAGCCAUACCGCGUGGGUGAAGAAGGCCUUCGGGUUGUAAAGCCCUUUUGUUGGGAAAGAAAUCCAGCUGGCUAAUACCCGGUUGGGAUGACGGUACCCAAAGAAUAAGCACCGGCUAACUUCGUGCCAGCCGCCGCAGUAA